UCCCUGGUGGUCCAAUGGUUAGGACUCUGUGCUUUCAGUGCCGAGGGCCAGGGUUCGAUCCCUGGUCAGGGAA
rfam:Ovis aries breed Texel chromosome 3, whole genome shotgun sequence.